GACCCUAGGUAAGGCGUGGCCACCGGCUGAAUUUAAGCAUAUCAAUAAGCGGAGGAGAAGAAUACUUACGAGGAUUCCCCUAGUAACGGCGAGCGAACCGGAGCAGCCCAGCUGAGAAUCGACGUCGGUC
rnacentral:rRNA from 1 species